UACGUAGGGGCAAGCGUUGGUCCGGAAUCAUUGGGCGUAAAGAGCGUGUAGGCGGCCAGGUAGGUCCGUUGUGAAAACUGGAGGCUUAACCUCCAGCUGUCGAUGGAAACCAUCUGGCUAGAGUCCGGAAGAGGAGAGUGGAAUUCCUGGUGUAGCGGUGAAAUGCGCAGAUAUCAGGAAGAACACCCGUGGCGAAGGCGGCUCUCUGGGACGGUACUGACGCUGAGACGCGAAAGCGUGGGGAGCGAACAGG
rnacentral:rRNA from 1 species